GAUUUAAUGAGUAUGGGGGAGGUAAAUGGUAGAAAUAGCAAUGUGAACUACAUUUCCCAUGACCCCCUUCAGUCAACAUGUUUGAAUACUCACAUCAGAGCAGCAUUUUCUUGUUCAAUGUGUUGUUGCUUCUCCUCCAUGGAUUUGACACAAGCUUCAAAAACAUCAACAAACAACUUUAAGAAGUUACCUGAGCAGUUUCCCAACCACCAUUAUGCUACAGAAAUGCUGGAACAACAACACGGACAACCAAACGUCCUUUGGGAAGCAGAUCGCAUUUGGAUUGGGUUUUGUUCGGGCUGAGGUAAAAACAACACUAUGUCAUCAAGCACACUGCAUCAUGUCGCAUAUAAUACAAUUACGGCCCACUCAAUGCGUUUCCUAAUGCAAUGUAAAAUUUGUUUAGACAUCUCCC
rnacentral:lncRNA from 1 species